ACUAUAGGACUUGUAGCUCAGCGUCAUGUGGCCUUAUCCUCCACCUAGCAGGUCGGGUGUUCAAAUCUUGUGCUAGUUGGAAUUCUCGGGUGCCAAGG